UUUUUUUAAUUUGCCUUAUGUUUUCUGCCAGAAUUUUUUUUUCCUUCAUCAGUGCUGCUUAUGCUGGUGUUUCACACAGUGACUGCAAGCAAUUUUUCCCACAUCACUCCCCCUACAGUCAGCUGUUGCCCUGCCUGUUCAGGAGGACUUGCAAGAGACUAAGCUUGCUACUUCUGCCAUGGCAUAGGACAACCAGAAGAAAAACUUGCUGGAAUGUACAGGCUGUCUAGAAGAAAAAUGGCUUUUUUCUUACCUGAGAGAAGAGCUGAGGAAGCACAAGAGAAGCUUGGUAAUUUGCAUUAAUUACUUAAUGGAAAGAAGGAUAUUUUGAAGCCAUUCUGUAAAACAACCAUCAACAAGAAUUUUGACAGGUUGCUCAACAGUAUUUUUCCUGGAAAGAGAAUGUUUGCUGGGAGCCAGACCUCCUCAUGUCCAUCUCCUUCCAAGAAUAUCAUGUUCUGGAUCAAACGUGACUCUGAUGAUGUGACAGAUACCUCUGUCAUGGUUUCUUAUACAUUUACACCCCUCACCAGGUGGCAUAUUCUGUUGAACGAAUGCUGAAAUGGUACCUUUUCUAUCAGCACACUUCUGCUUGAGAAUGUACUUCCGCUUUGAGCAUUACAACAGUUCAUGAAGGAAGGACUGGAUUAACUUUAUCAUAUCCACAAUGAGGAAAGAAAAUACAUGCAUGCUGAAUACUUUAGUUAUAGUUGUGCAUAAUAAAUUGUUUUUUGUUUCAUGAGUUAUCCCAAAAUAUAAGUUAUAGUACAGAUAACAAAUAAAAGCUUAAAUUGUCUAAAGGUAAUAACUUAGGUA